rnacentral:pre_miRNA from 1 species
UAUGUACCCCCUCCAUUCAGAAUUACUUGUCUCGGAAAUGGAUGUAUCUAGAACUAAAAUACAUCUAGAUACAUCCAUUUCUGCGACAAGUAAUUCCGAACGGAGGGAGUACAUC